rnacentral:misc_RNA from 1 species
UGGAAGAAACGGAAAAGUAGCCAAAGGGAUGGAACCCAUCUUAACAGACAUUAAAGAUGCUGAAACCAAAUACAAAUUGGAGCCACGGUCGAUAGUUGAAGGUAAUGCGAGUCUUGCUCGUGUUAAGGUGCCAAAUUUCGACGAAAAGUCAUCAUGGAACAAUUACAUGAAACAGUUCGAAUCGGCGGCCAGAGCGAACGGAUGGUUCGAAAAAGAAAAAGCUGUAAACCUCACUAUUGCUCUUCGAGGCGACGCUUUGGAUGUCCUCCAGACCAUAGCCGUAGAGGAGACAGAUGACUUCGAACAGCUCAAAAAGAGACUGAAUAUGCGAUACGGGCACGAACAUUUACAGCAUGUCUAUCAGUCGCAGUUUAAAAAUCGAAGACAAAAGAAAGAUGAAUACGAGGUAGAUAUUGCCAGGUUAGUACGAUAUGCGUAUCCAACAGCUCCCGAAAACACGAUGGAAAAGUUGGCUGUUAAAACAUUCAUUGAUGGCCUUCGUGAUUAUGAAAUGCAAAGAACACUGCGAUUAGCUCGUCACAAGACGCUGCGCUGGUCGAUGUCUUGUCCGCCACCCUCGAAUACGAAUCAGCUACCCAAGCCUCUGGUGGGUACAGUAAAGUUAGGACUGUGAAAGAGGAACAGGAUGAGGACAAACUUGACCAGCUUGUUAAUAUGAUGAAGGACAUUGCAUCCAAGAAAACGAAGACCAUAAGGUGCUGGAAUUGUGAAAUAGGACACGUGCGGAGUUCAUGUAAGUACCCUAGGUACAAUAGCAAUUAAGAAACUCAUCAGUUGGAAAACUAGAACGGGUCGGCCUUAGGGGGCAGCUUCGACCCGCAACUUUUCCAAAGACCCUCUCAUACUAAUAGCUUCUUUGAAAUGUCGUGAAGAUAGUGUAUAUGUAGAUGGAGAAAUAAAUGGUAAAAAGUAUACAUUGUUGGUGGAUACCGGAGCGACCAGGACCAUCAUUCGACCGUCAGUUAUAAACAGCCGUA